rnacentral:rRNA from 1 species
GACGAACGCUGGCGGCGUGCUUAACACAUGCAAGUCGAACGGAAAGGCCCUGCUUUUGUGGGGUGCUCGAGUGGCGAACGGGUGAGUAACACGUGAGUAACCUGCCCUUGACUUUGGGAUAACUUCAGGAAACUGGGGCUAAUACCGGAUAGGAGCUCCUGCUGCAUGGUGGGGGUUGGAAAGUUUCGGCGGUUGGGGAUGGACUCGCGGCUUAUCAGCUUGUUGGUGGGGUAGUGGCUUACCAAGGCUUUGACGGGUAGCCGGCCAGAGAGGGUGACCGGCCACAUUGGGACUGAGGUACGGCCCAGACUCCUACGGGAGGCAGCAGUGGAGAAUAGUGCACAAUGGGCGGAAGCAUGAUGGAGCAACGCCGCGUGCGGGAUGACGGCCUUCGGGUAGUAAACAGCUUUCGCGUGUGACGAAGCGUGAGUGACGGUAAUGGGUAAAGAAGCACCGGCUAACUACGU